GUAUUGCUCUGUCGCCCAGGCUGGAGUGCAGUGACAUGAUCUUGACCCAAUGCAAUCUCCGCCCCCCGGGUUCACGUGAUUCUCAUGCCUCGGCCUCCUGAGUAGCUGGGAUUACAGGAGCAGUGUGCCACAAUUUUUUAUUGUGGUAAAAUAUACAAAACAUAAAAUUUAUUAUUUAACCAUUUUUAAGAAUACAGUUCGGUGGCAUAAGUACAUUCAUGUUUUGCAGCCAUCACCACCAUCCAUCUCCAGGACUUUUUCAUUUUCCCCAGCUAAAACUCUGCACCCAUUAAACACCAACCACCAAUUCCCUCCUCUCCCCAACAACUGGCAACCACCGUUCUACUUUCUGAAUCUAUGACUUUGACUACUACAGGUACCUCACAUAAGUGAAAUCAUACUUUUGUCCUCUGUGACUGCCUUAUUUUGUUUAGCAUAAUGUCCUCAGGGGUCAUCCAUGUUGUAGCAUGUCAGAACAUCCUUCCUUUUUAAAAAUUUAUUUAUUUUGAGACAGAGUCUCACUCUGUCACUCAGCUGGAGUGCAGUGGCAGGAUCAUGGCUCACUGCAGCCUCAACCUCCGAGGCUCAACUGAUUCUCCCACCUCAGCCUCCCAGGUAGCUGGGACUACAGGCAUGCGCCACCACACCCAGCUAAUUUUAAAAUUUUUUUGUAGAGAAUGGGGUCUCACUGUGUUUCGUAGGCUGGUCUCAAGUGAUCCUCCCACCUUGGCCUCUCAAAGUGCUGGGAUUAGGUGUGAGUCAUAGUGUGUGGCCUCUAGAGCACUAACUUUAAAAAGCUAACAAUUACAAAUCCUUCCUCUGUCCCUCUGAGAUAUAUACCUAUGUAUUUCCUACAACCUAGGAAUGUCUUUCUCAAGGACCUGAAAUCCAUUCCUUUGGAAUGUAAUCAUCAUAAAGGUAGGGCUCAUGUCUCCCAGUCUAUGUGGGAGAAUAGAAUCCUAACUUCCCUAAUUGCCAGCUAGCAGACACAGUUCGCCUAAUCACAUUUACGCUAAGCACUCCUUUUAAUUUUUCACUUCCCAGACUCUAAGUGAGCCCCUGCAUGCUCCCCUGCCUACUCCCUUAUUCUUCCUUUGGAAUGCCCAAUCACCCCUGCGCAAAUGGAAUGGAGUUCAGCUGCUACCCCUACUGUCAGUAGUUACCGAAUAAAAUCUAUUUUCAUCAUUUUAAUGCCUGGCUUUGUUUAUCUUUAAUAAUAUCAUUAACUAGAGUUCAAUCUUUAUUUAUAGUUCUUUUUGUUUGGUUUUCUAGUGAAGAUGAAAUUGCUUUGAGUAAAAUGUGCAAAUACUAAAUGUACCAUUAGAUAAUUUUGACAAAUUCAUACACCCAAAUCUCCUAUCAAGAUAUAUAUCAAGGAUGAGGAGAAAUUUGAACCCCUGUGGAUUGCUAAUGGGAAUGUAAAAUGGUUCAGCUUGCUGUAAAAAAUGGUGUGGUGGUUUCUCAAUACAUUAAACUAGAACUAGCAUAUGAUCCAGCAAUUUCACUUCUGAGUGUAUACCCAAAUGAAUUAAAAAGAAAGCAGGGACUCAAACAGAUAUUCGUACACCCAUGUUCAUAGCCGAAUUAUUCACAAUAGCCAAAAGAUGGAAGCUAUCCGUGUCCAUGACUGCAUGAAUGGAUAAACAAAUUGUGGUAUAUACAUAUAAUGGAAUAUUAUUUGGCCAUAAAAAGGAAAGAGGCCAGGCACGAUGGUGCACACCUGUAAUAACGGCAUUUUGGGAGGCCAACGUGGGUGAAUUGCUUGAGCCGAGGAGUUCAAGACCGGUCUGGGGAACAUAGUGACACCCUGUCUCUGAAAAAAAAUAAAAUAGGAUUAGCCAGGCAUGGACGUGUGUGCCUGUAGUUGGGAGGAUGGCUUGAGCCCAGGAAGUCUAGGCAGCAGUGAGCACCAUUGCACCACUGCACUCCAAGCUGGGUGACAGGGCGAGACCCUGUCUCAAAAAAAAAAAAAAAAAAAGGAAAAAAAGGAAAAAAAGGAAGCGCUCUGGGAAAGGGAGGCUUUGGCUGGAACAAAUGGUGAAUUCUUUUGGCACCCCUGAGCUUUCUUGGGCAGGCAUUUUAAAGGGGCCUAGGCCCACCUAGAGAUCCGCCCUUAGGCUGUUAACUUAGCAUGAUGCCAUAUUAGAGUUUAGUCAAGUCUCUUAGUGCAGUGGUUAGGAUAGUCGUUAAAUGCUGAGGAGUCUUUGUAGUUCUCAAUUAGCAGGCGAGUUUUUAGGGAUGAAAGGUACUGAUAAUUUACUUUGAAUGUAUCAAAAAAUAGGAUGGAUUGCUGGAUGCAGAGACGGCAUGUGAUAAAGCGGAUACAGCAAAUGUUACUGGUAGAGAGUCUGUCACCCAGUCAUUAGAACAUGAGCUCCAGGAGGGCAGGGACUUUGUUGGCCUGGCACAUAGGCGGUCAACAAAUAUUUGCAGAAUGAACGAACAAUACUUGUAACGGCCUUAGGACAAACAAGUGCACAAAAAGAGGAAGCUUUCCCUGACUCUGUUGUGGCGGGGAUCCGGACGGUGGAACGGACGCACAGAAAGCGCGCGGAGCCUGGCGGAGUCGCUCUGGCCUCCUGGAGCCUCUGCUCUAUGGCUGGUCCUCCCGGGCUGCGGAACCUCUCUGGCCGCUCGUGGCGUCCGCUCCAUGGCGGUCCUUUGGGGACGCAGGAGCAUGCGCAGAACUGCUCCCGGCCCGGAUCGCUAUGGCAGCGGCGUCGUCGCGGGCCGGGCCCCAGCAAUCCCGCCCGGGCCGGGCUGCCUCAACAGCCGCCCCCACUGCCCCCUCUCGGGCAUGAACCGAGCUUCUUGUUGCCGCCCGCUGCCCUACCCGCCGCUGCCGCCGCAUCCCGACUCUGGGCCAGCGCUGGGAACAUGCCCCUGGCCGCCUACUGCUACCUGCGGGUCGUGGGCAAGGGGAGCUAUGGAGAGGUGACGCAUGUGAAGCACCGGCGGGACGGCAAGCAGUAUGUCAUCAAAAAACUGAACCUCCGAAAUGCCUCUAGCCGAGAGCGGCGAGCUGCUGAACAGGAAGCCCAGCUCUUGUCUCAGUUGAAGCAUCCCAACAUUGUCACCUACAAGGAGUCAUGGGAAGGAGGAGAUGGUCUGCUCUACAUUGUCAUGGGCUUCUGUGAAGGAGGUGAUUUGUACCGAAAGCUCAAGGAGCAGAAAGGGCAGCUUCUGCCCGAGAAUCAGGUGGUAGAGUGGUUUGUACAGAUCGCCAUGGCUUUGCAGUAUUUACAUGAAAAACACAUCCUUCAUCGAGAUCUGAAAACUCAAAAUGUCUUCCUAACAAGAACAAACAUCAUCAAAGUAGGGGACCUAGGAAUUGCCCGAGUGUUAGAGAACCACUGUGACAUGGCUAGCACCCUCAUUGGCACACCCUACUACAUGAGCCCUGAAUUGUUCUCAAACAAACCCUACAACUAUAAGUCUGAUGUUUGGGCUCUAGGAUGCUGUGUCUAUGAAAUGGCCACCUUGAAGCAUGCUUUCAAUGCAAAAGAUAUGAAUUCUUUAGUUUAUCGGAUUAUUGAAGGAAAGCUGCCACCAAUGCCAAGAGAUUACAGCCCAGAGCUGGCAGAACUGAUAAGAACAAUGCUGAGCAAAAGGCCUGAAGAAAGGCCAUCUGUGAGGAGCAUCCUGAGGCAGCCUUAUAUAAAGCGGCAAAUCUCCUUCUUUUUGGAGGCCACAAAGAUAAAAACCUCCAAAAAUAACAUUAAAAAUGGUGACUCUAAAUCCAAGCCUUUUGCUACAGUGGUUUCUGGAGAGGCAGAAUCAAAUCAUGAAGUAAUCCACCCCCAACCACUCUCUUCUGAGGGCUCCCAGACAUAUAUAAUGGGUGAAGGCAAAUGUUUGUCCCAGGAGAAACCCAGGGCCUCUGGUCUCUUGAAGUCACCUGCCAGUCUGAAAGCCCAUACCUGCAAACAGGACUUGAGCAAUACCACAGAACUAGCCACAAUCAGUAGGGUAAAUAUUGACAUCUUACCUGCAAAAGGGAGGGAUUCAGUGAGUGAUGGCUUUGUUCAGGAGAAUCAGCCAAGAUAUUUGGAUGCCUCUAAUGAGUUAGGAGGUAUAUGCAGUAUUUCUCAAGUGGAAGAGGAGAUGCUGCAGGACAACACUAAAUCCAGUGCCCAGCCUGAAAACCUGAUUCCCAUGUGGUCCUCUGACAUUGUCACUGGGGAAAAGAAUGAACCAGUGAAGCCUCUGCAGCCCCUAAUCAAAGAACAAAAGCCAAAGGACCAGAGUCUUGCCCUGUCGCCCAAGCUGGAGUGCAGUGGCACAAUCUUGGCUCACAGCAACCUCCGCCUCCUGGGUUCAAGUGAUUCUCCAGCCUCAGCCUCCCGAGUAGCUGGGAUUACAGGCGUGUGCCACCACGCCCAGGAUCAAGUUGCUGGUGAAUGUACUAUAGAAAAACAGAGCAGAAUCCACCCAGAUUUACAGCCACACAACUCUGGGUCUGAACCUUCCCUGUCUCGACAGCGACGGCAAAAGAAGAGAGAACAGACUGAGCACAGAGGGGAAAAGAGACAGGUCGGCAGAGAUCUCUUUGCUUUCCAAGAGUCGCCUCCUCGAUUUUUGCCUUCUCAUCCCAUUGUUGGGAAAGUGGAUGUCACAUCAACACAAAAAGAGGCUGAAAACCAACGUAGAGUGGUCACUGGGUCUGUGAGCAGUUCAAGGAGCAGUGAGAUGUCAUCAUCAAAGGAUCGACCAUUAUCAGCCAGAGAGAGGAGGCGACUAAAGCAGUCACAGGAAGAAAUGUCCUCUUCAGGCCCUUCAGUGAGGAAAGCAUCUCUGAGUGUAGCAGGGCCAGGAAAACCCCAGGAGGAAGACCAGCCCUUGCCUGCCCGACGGCUCUCCUCUGACUGCAGCGUCACUCAGGUGCAUUACGUACUCCUAAGAGAGAAGGAAAGGAAACCGAUUCAUUGUCUGUCUGAGGAUGAGUUAAGUUCUUCUACAAGUUCAACUGAUAAGUCAGAUGGGGAUUACGGGGAAGGGAAAGGUCAGACAAAUGAAAUUAAUGCCUUGGUACAAUUGAUGACUCAGACCCUGAAACUGGAUUCUAAAGAGAGCUGUGAAGAUGUCCCAGUAGCAAACCCAGUGUCAGAAUUCAAACUUCAUCGGAAAUAUCGGGACACACUGAUACUUCAUGGGAAGGUUGCAGAAGAGGCAGAGGAAAUCCAUUUUAAAGAGCUACCUUCAGCUAUUAUGCCAGGUUCUGAAAAGAUCAGGAGACUAGUUGAAGUCUUGAGAACUGAUGUAAUUCGUGGCCUGGGAGUUCAGCUUUUAGAGCAGGUGUAUGAUCUUUUGGAGGAGGAGGAUGAAUUUGAUAGAGAGGUGCACUGACUUCAUAUUGUUCAAACACACAUGUUUUACAAUCAAUUUGUACAGUUAACACAAUUAUCAUGGUGGUCCUGAGGUGACGUACAUCCUCAUCUUAUGAAGAUAACAGGAUUAAGAGAUUAAAGUAAAACAGGGGUACGUUUGCGGGAGCACAUGGGUGAAAAGUAUACAACUUACAGUGUGAAAGCUCGCCAGUUGAAAUUUUUUGAAGAAAACAUGAAUUUUUGAGCAUUUGUCCUAAUCUGCUGCCAGAAUUAAAGACCUAUUUUUAGAGGAUUUUGGCUUAAAAAGCAAGGGCAAACAGUCAUUUGGAAGCCACUCACCACUGUUUUAUAUCUCUUUUUUAUAUCUCUUUGGGGUUUCCCUACAGAAAAGAAAUUGGACAGAACAGAAUAAUAUGAAGCAGGAUCACGAAAGAAAAAAAACUUUGGCUUUCAUAUUCUCUCUUUGUGAGGACAAAUCUGUUGUUUGUUUGAUUACUGUUUACUGAGCCUUAAUCCACCAAGUUUAUAUUUAGAAUUUUAUUUUUUUAAGGUACUAAUUAACUUAAACACAGAGCUAUAAAAUGCUGGAUUGAAAAUUUUAUAUUGUAAUGUAGAGAUAAAAGCAUUAGGAGAAACAAAUGACAUAAUAUGUCGUCAUAAUUCCUGCUAUUGUUAAUAACCUUAAGGAGUAGUUGAUAAAUUAUAAAAUUUUAAAAAGUCAAUUCAGUUCUAGAAAUAGAUUUAAAGAAUAUGAAGUUCUGUCUAGUACUUGAGCAGCUGUAUUUCUUUUCUACACAUUGAUGGACUUUUAAUAUUUUAUUCUCAUUUAAUAUAAACCUCAUCUAGGGUAUAUACAAAUUAAAACUGAGACACAUUGGCUUUGUAAAUCAGUAUGUUUUUACAUAAUGGUUUUGUUAGAUUUAUUUUUCCAUCAGUGAAAACAUUUCUUAAACACAAAUUUCAUUUCCAUUUAAGCAAUUUGUAAGCAAAGUCCAGGUCCAUUUAGUUUUUGGAUAUAUUUAAUGUUUGUCUCCUGAAGUUUGUCUUCAUGUACUGUAAGAUAUUAGUUGUCUUUCCAUGUUUUAAAUGUAUGAUUAUAUAGCACAUAUUUUAUUAGUUGUUUAAUAAGAGGUAAUACCCAUCUAGGAAAGAAAUUUUAUGAAGUUAAAUACAAGUCUUGAAUAGUACAUUUUCACUUCUGUAUUCGAGGGACUCUAAAAAUAAAUAUUGCUCCAGAAA